UUUAUCAAUCACUAGAAAUACUUAGAGAUAUUGAUAAACAGAAAACAACAUUAUCAUUAUACAUAGGCAUUAUAGAGUACAGCCUACCUGAAGAGGAUGUAUCAUGCUCGUGUAUACAGAAUUAUAAUGUUGUCAAAUCUUUCAUAUUUUUAUAUAUUCUACUGUGUGUGCGAGAGGCACGUCCAUUUGAACACGCAUAAUCCAAUUAUAAUGGUUCCAAUUUAAAAAAACAGAUCAGUGUUAACAAUCUUAUACAUACUCCGAUAUUAUAGUACGCUCCCUUAUAUGGCCGCAGGGUAAAGCAAAACUGAAUUUAAAAGACUAUAGAAGUAGCUUAUGCUAUUCGGAAGUUAUAUAAAAAUGUUAUCUAUCAGCAUUCAUGUAUAAAUUCUUAUUUCUACCAGAAGGUGGCACUGUUGGUCCACAAUUGCAACAGCUGCUGUAACUAACUUGCAACUUGUGUAGUUCCAUGUGUUUGUUGUGUGGUGAAGGGAAUUGCGCUUCCCCUGUAUUCACAGUCUGAUUGGCUAACAUGCUGUAAUCGUGCAUUUCAAUAUUUGGCUGGCAGCUUGUGUGUCUCUUUGACUCUCUCUUCCCACAUUAUCUGCUGUGAAGGAGGACAGUAAAAGCAAUGAGGAAGAUAGAGGGAGUGCGCUGCUGUUGUCUUGCAGUCUGGCUGAGCUGGGCUCUGUCUGUGACAGUGCUGAAGGCUGCAGCCCGAAGCCUGUCUCUCAGCCCGGGACAGACAGCCGUCCUGGACUGCAGCAUUGAGAGGGACAGCGGUGAGCUUGUGAGCUGGUACAAGCAGAGCCCUGGGGAUGCGCCUCAGUUUGUUCUCAGUCAUUACCACACCAACAGCUCAGCCGCUAACUACGGCUCCGGAUUCUCCUCCGAGCGCUUCACUGCCGGGGCGAAGGACCCGCUCACCUACCAGCUAGUGAUUCGCAGUGUAGAGUGGAGUGAUGUAGCCGUGUAUUACUGUGGAGCAUGGACUUCAGCACACGGAUAAGGGUGCACUACAGGAAGAAACACACAGACUCAUACCUCUGUUUAAACUGUUAUUCACUAGAGUGGACUACAGUAGUGUGCAGAUGGAGAAGAACACCUCACGAUUAUGAAAUUAAUUUUUGCAUGUUAUUUUUCAUGUUAUGCAUGUUAUGUAAUAAUUUGUUGUUUUAUCAUAAAGCUGAAUCUCUGCUUUAAUUUCUAUCUUUCAAUAGAAC